rnacentral:rRNA from 1 species
ACAGCAGUCGCCACGGUAAUACGAAGGGGGCUAGCGUUGCUCUGAAUUACUGGGCGUAAAGCGCACGUAGGCGGAUAUUUAAGUCAGGGGUGAAAUCCCAGAGCUCAACUCUGGAACUGCCUUUGAUACUGGGUAUCUUGAGUAUGGAAGAGGUAAGUGGAAUUCCGAGUGUAGAGGUGAAAUUCGUAGAUAUUCGGAGGAACACCAGUGGCGAAGGCGGCUUACUGGUCCAUUACUGACGCUGAGGUGCGAAAGCGUGGGGAGCAAACAGGAUUAGAGACCCCUGUAGUCCCUGUCUCUUAUAC